ACGCUCGACACCUACUGGAGGCAGCAGUGGGGAAUAUUGCACAAUGGGGGAAACCCUGAUGCAGCGACGCCGCGUGAGCGAAGAAGUAUUUCGGUAUGUAAAGCUCUAUCAGCAGGGAAGAAGAAAGACGGUACCUGACUAAGAAGCCCCGGCUAACUACGUGCCAGCAGCCGACGGUAAUCUGAGGCGGGCUGGACGAAGGC
rnacentral:rRNA from 1 species